GACGAACGCUGGCGGCGUGCCUAAUACAUGCAAGUCGAGCGGAACUUAGAAAGCUUGCUUUCUAAGUUUAGCGGCGGACGGGUGAGUAACACGUGGGCAACCUGCCUAUAAGACUGGGAUAACUUCGGGAAACCGGAGCUAAUACCGGAUAAUAUAAAAGAUCACAUGGUCUUUUAUUGAAAGAUGGCUUCGGCUAUCACUUAUAGAUGGGCCCGCGGCGCAUUAGCUAGUUGGUGAGGUAAUGGCUCACCAAGGCGACGAUGCGUAGCCGACCUGGGAGGGUGAUCGGCCACACUGGGACUGAGACACGGCCCAGACUCCUACGGGAGGCAGCAGUAGGGAAUCUUCCGCAAUGGACGAAAGUCUGACGGAGCAACGCCGCGUGAGCGAUGAAGGCCUUCGGGUCGUAAAGCUCUGUUGUUAGGGAAGAACAAGUAUCGUUCGAAUAGGGCGGUACCUUGACGGUACCUAACCAGAAAGCCACGGCUAACUACGUG
rnacentral:rRNA from 1 species